rnacentral:rRNA from 1 species
CCCUAUGGGGUGCACCAGGCGGAACUUUUGAGAAAACAACUCGAAAACGCCUCACAGCAAGCCUACAUCACCCGGGAAAUGCAACGGCGGGAUUUACCAUCUUAUUUAGCGCAACAGGGGCUGACGGGGGGUAUAACCGAAACGGCUGCAAACGAUUUGUUGAGGAGUUACCGCAACUCGGUCAACGCCGCAAGGAACACUUAUUCCGACAACACAAACUCGCUUGAAAACACCUAUGCUACGAAUUUAGCGGGUAUCAACACGACCUAUUCCCAACGGCUGAUGGACGCUAUGGCGCAACGCCGGGCGGAAGAACUGCAACGGGCAGUGGUGGCGGCGCAGGACGGCGGUUUAACGGGUGGCAUUGUAGCGACGGGCGGAAGCGGCGGAGGAAUGGGCGGGAGGGC